CUAAUAACACAGCCACAUGCACAGUACCCCGCCCCUGAUGCUCUCAAAUGCUUUACCCAGCUGCAUAAAUAGCAUUUAUUCCUGUUUUUCAGAUGAGGUAAGAGGGAUGGCAGUAGCAGGAGAGCAGAGUGCCACUCAGCAAGAGUGAGACGUGCCUUUGCCAUGCUGGAUCACGCCAAGCAGUACUGUCUGAGGUUUUGGCUGGCACGGAGAUGAUGGGAAACACAACGCUGAAAUGGCACUUACAGCAUCCCAGAGGACCAUUCAAAGCAACAAAAAACCUGGUGAUGUCCUUAAAGACUGCAGAUGGUUUCUUCAAGCACAAGAAUAGAGUUUCUCUUGCAGCUGAAAGCCUGGGGCAAAUAAAUAUCCAUGUGCUCAGAGAAAUCUGUGAGUUGUUAAAUGAAGAGGCAGCAGCAGGAAGGCAGAGAAGAGGUGGGUUUUGGGGGUGUAGCUUUCAUUUUUAUUCUCUGUGCAGGCCUGGAGUCAUUGGCAGCUGGGAAUGAGUCAAGCAGAAGCCAGCCCUGUACAGCUUGCUGGUGAAAAUUAGUUGGGGAAACACUGUUAAAUCCAAUAAGCAGACACAUGAAACCUAAACAAGAAGCAUCUCACCACAAGAGUUAUGUGCAAAUUAAAAGACAGUGAAGAGAGGGAACUUGAGGCCCUAAGUCAAGAGGCACAGUCAGGAAUGGCUGGAUUUCCUGGAGCAGCCAGAGCCAGGAUCACUGGGCUCCUGCUGGGAGGACAGGCUUGAAACUUCCUUCAGACCAAUAUUGUCCUGCCCUGGCACUCAGCAG
rnacentral:lncRNA from 1 species